GAUGAACGCUGGCGGCGUGCCUAAUACAUGCAAGUCGAGCGAACAGACGAGGAGCUUGCUCCUCUGACGUUAGCGGCGGACGGGUGAGUAACACGUGGAUAACCUACCUAUAAGACUGGGAUAACUUCGGGAAACCGGAGCUCAUACCGGAUAAUAUAUUGAACCGCAUGGUUCAAUAGUGAAAGACGGUUUUGCUGUCACUUAUAGAUGUAUCCGCGCCGCAUUAGCUAGUUGGUAAGGUAACGGCUUACCAAGGCAACGAUGCGUAGCCGACCUGAGAGGGUGAUCGGCCACACUGGAACUGAGACACGGUCCAGACUCCUACGGGAGGCAGCAGUAGGGAAUCUUCCGCAAUGGGCGAAAGCCUGACGGAGCAACGCCGCGUGAGUGAUGAAGGUCUUCGGAUCGUAAAACUCUGUUAUUAGGGAAGAACAAAUGUGUAAGUAACUAUGCACGUCUUGACGGUACCUAAUCAGAAAGCCACGGCUAACUACGUG
rnacentral:rRNA from 1 species